CAUGACUGUGUUCCACUGGAACUUUAUAGACAGACGUGGUGGGUCGGAUGUUACCUACAAGUCAUCAUUUGGGGAUUUCUGUUUCAGAGCUUUCAGCUGUAGUCCCUCGGGAGUAGGAGAAAAGGAAGAAGGAUCUAAAACUUGAUGCAGUUAUCACUCAAGAAGAGUGAGAGGGUAGAGUGGGUGUCACGUGGAAGGUCAGGGCGUGUUUCUUGGAUGCCUGGAAUUUGCCACAUUCAGGAAAGUGAAGCAGGGGCAGAGAGUGACUGGAAAUUACAGAGAGAUUGCCGUGGCGAAGCCUGGAGAAUUACACAGCACUUCUAUUUGCAUCUUCUUGUUCACCUAACAUUAAGAUGGACCUCAGAAGCUGCCAUGUGUACUGCGAAGAGUGGUAGUUGCAAGAAGUAACUGGUCCUCUUUGGAGCUUAUCAUGGCACAAAAGUGAGCAAAGCUUUCUGGGAGAGAGCUGAGGCUGGGGGAAUGCAGGGAAUGGCAGAGACUCAGAGGGGUACAAGGACGUAUCCAGAUUUGAGGGUGGGCUAACUCAGCCAAGAAGCAACGUGGAUGCUAGAAUUCAGUUCUUGUUCAAACUUUGUUACCAAGAACCAUUGAGUCUGAUGAAAAGACUCAAUGCAGCUCAAGUAUACAUGAACUAACUAGAUUCUUUUUUUGCUAUCUGAUUUUUAUGUGUUACCAAGUCAACGUGAAGGAGAAGAGUCAAAGCCUGGGGGAUAGCUCAGUCGUACAGCACAUGCUUAGCAUUCAUGAGAGCUUGGAGUCCAUAUAUAGCAUCUCCUAACCCCUAAAAAACCAGAGUCAGUGUUUAUAAAACUGUCACCACCCAAGG
rnacentral:lncRNA from 1 species